GGGCCAAUAGCUCAGUUGGUUAGAGCAUCUGACUCAUAAUCAGAGGGUCCGGGGUUCGAGUCCCUGUUGGCCCACGA
rnacentral:tRNA from 1 species